AUUGAACGCUGGCGGCAGGCCUAACACAUGCAAGUCGAGCGGAUGAAGGGGGCUUGCUCCUGGAUUCAGCGGCGGACGGGUGAGUAAUGCCUAGGAAUCUGCCUGGUAGUGGGGGAUAACGUCCGGAAACGGGCGCUAAUACCGCAUACGUCCUGAGGGAGAAAGUGGGGGAUCUUCGGACCUCACGCUAUCAGAUGAGCUUAGGUCGGAUUAGCUAGUUGGUGGGGUAAAGGCCUACCAAGGCGACGAUCCGUAACUGGUCUGAGAGGAUGAUCAGUCACACUGGAACUGAGACACGGUCCAGACUCCUACGGGAGGCAGCAGUGGGGAAUAUUGGACAAUGGGCGAAAGCCUGAUCCAGCCAUGCCGCGUGUGUGAAGAAGGUCUUCGGAUUGUAAAGCACUUUAAGUUGGGAGGAAGGGCAGUAAGUUAAUACCUUGCUGUUUUGACGUUACCAACAGAAUAAGCACCGGCUAACUUCGUG
rnacentral:rRNA from 1 species